AUUGAACGCUGGCGGCAGGCCUAACACAUGCAAGUCGAACGGUAGCAGGAAGAAGCUUGCUUCUUUGCUGACGAGUGGCGGACGGGUGAGUAAUGUCUGGGAAACUGCCUGAUGGAGGGGGAUAACUACUGGAAACGGUAGCUAAUACCGCAUAACGUCGCAAGACCAAAGAGGGGGACCUUCGGGCCUCUUGCCAUCGGAUGUGCCCAGAUGGGAUUAGCUAGUAGGUGGGGUAACGGCUCACCUAGGCGACGAUCCCUAGCUGGUCUGAGAGGAUGACCAGCCACACGGGAACUGAGACACGGUCCAGACUCCUACGGGAGGCAGCAGUGGGGAAUAUUGCACAAUGGGCGCAAGCCUGAUGCAGCCAUGCCGCGUGUAUGAAGAAGGCCUUCGGGUUGUAAAGUACUUUCAGCGGGGAGGAAGGGAGUAAAGUUAAUACCUUUGCUCAUUGACGUUACCCGCAGAAGAAGCACCGGCUAACUCCGUG
rnacentral:rRNA from 1 species